GGGAGUUUGAUCAUGGCUCAGGACGAACGCUGGCGGCGUGCUUAACACAUGCAAGUCGAGCGGGGUCCAACCUGUCGCAAGACAGGGGAAGACCUAGCGGCGAACGGGUGAGUAACACGUGAGCAACCUGCCCCGGAGACCGGGAUAACACCGGGAAACCGGUGCUAAUACCGGAUACCCUCAACGGAUCGCAUGGUCCGAUGAGGAAAUGGAUUCCGCUUCGGGAGGGGCUCGCGGCCUAUCAGCUUGUUGGUGGGGUAACGGCCUACCAAGGCUCCGACGGGUAGCUGGUCUGAGAGGACGACCAGCCACACUGGGACUGAGACACGGCCCAGACUCGCCC
rnacentral:rRNA from 1 species